rnacentral:lncRNA from 1 species
GACUGAAGAAAGGAGGCCCUGCUUUUCGGAGGUGAUGGCCUCGAGUCAGGUGGUGAGGGACGCAGUAGGAAUUGGCCAGGAGGAGAAAGAAGCAAAAUCCAGGCAGUGGAGAGAACAAGUGCAGAGGUUCAAGGGCAUAAAACGUUCCAGCAGAUUCGGGCCUGGAAGGACGGGAGAAAGAACCGUCCUUGUGUGGAGCAAGGUUUAAGGGUCCAGUUCAUGCAGAAACUUCAGGCCCCUGAGAGUAAAGGCAUGCGGCUGAUUUCAUCUAAGAAGCCCCUGGCUCAGAGUGGGGAAGAGGCUUGCUUGAGACUGCACGGGAGAGGAUGGCUGAGCUGGCCACCAACGCAGUAUCCUGACCGAGUUCUGCUGAUCGUUCUGUACCCUGUUGGGCAGCCCCUGGAGCAGCAGCAGCAUCUCUUGCAGGUGCACUUGACAGUGAAUCAUGAGUUUGCAGGGAACUGUCCAGAGCUCUGCAGACAGGCUGGUGUGACGAAUGAAAGGAGGGACUCACUGAGGCCAUGCAGGCCAUGGAGGUGACAGGUCUGUUGAAAUUGACACCACAGGAGAGGGUACUCUGCUCUGCUUUGAAACCACAGUGAAUUGGGCUUUGUCCCCCUGUGCCAUUGUCUUUGACCCUCAUUUCCUUUGGUCGCCCUACGCCUGCUGUUUGGAACACCUUUCCCUCUAGUGGGCCUGGCUUCUACUCAUGGGUCACUUCCUCCAGGAAAACUUUGCUGCACCUGUACAGAGUUAAACCUGCGAUCUUAGCCCCAGCCCCAGCCUGGCCUGUCUAUUCAGGGAGUGGGUAGUGGGUGUUAACAUUAACUAGUGUACCGAAGAGAAGCAAAUGGUACCCAUGGAGGCUCAGGGCCAGGGCAGAUGUGGCUCAGAUCCCGCGUUGCUGUGGCUGUGGUGUAGGCCGGCAGCUGCAGCUCUGAUUCGAGCCCUAGCCUGGGAACCUCCAUGUGCCACAGGUGCGGCCCUAAAAAGAAAAAGAAAAAAAAAAUCUUUGAAUUGGGAGAAAUCUUCAUGACUAUGAUUUCAUGAAUAUGAUACCAAAAGCACAAGCAACAAAGGGGAAAAAAAGCUUUUGUGCAUCAAAGGAGAUGGUCGAGGCGCUCCCGCUGUGGCUCCUUGGAAAUAAAUCCCACUAGAAUCCAUGAGGAUGCAGGUUUAUCGGCCUCGCUCAGUGGGUCGAGGAUCCAGCGUUGCCGUGAGCUGUGGGGUAGGUUGCGGAUGAGGUGCGGAUCUGGCGUUGCUGUGGCUGUUUCGUAGGCCAGCGGCUACAGCUCAGAUUCGAUCCCUACGCUGGGAACCUCCAUAUGCCACAGGUGCAACCCUAAAAGGAUU